rnacentral:rRNA from 1 species
ACAGCAGCAGCCACGGUAAUACAGAGGGUGCAAGCGUUAAUCGGAAUUACUGGGCGUAAAGCGUGCGUAGGCGGCUUCUUAAGUCGGAUGUGAAAUCCCUGAGCUUAACUUAGGAAUUGCAUUCGAUACUGGGAAGCUAGAGUAUGGGAGAGGAUGGUAGAAUUCCAGGUGUAGCGGUGAAAUGCGUAGAGAUCUGGAGGAAUACCGAUGGCGAAGGCAGCCAUCUGGCCUAAUACUGACGCUGAGGUACGAAAGCAUGGGGAGCAAACAGGAUUAGAUACCCGCGUAGUCCCUGUCUCUUAUAC